AUGUUGGAUGAUGAAAAGAAUCAGACGGAUUCCCAUUGAUUUAUAAAGAUGAUAUCUUAACCAGCUACUUCUGACAUAU